UACGUAGAACCUUGUUUUAAAGUGUCAAUCCUUAGCUAUAAAAGUUGAAAAAUUUAUAAUGUUUUAACUAGAAGAAAAUCGAAGCAGUGUUACUGGCUUACUGCCCCAGACGAUGACGACAGAAUGAUAGUACCUAUUUAAGAUACAUGUUUAUAUUAAAACUUCAUUCAUAGAAAUUUAACUUUCAAUAUUAAAACAUAAUAUAUUAUAUAUUUAUAGAGGUUAAAAACAGUAUUAGUUGUUAAAUAGGCAAAAACUAUUUUUUUAGCAAAAGUUAUUACCUAUUUAAAAUAUAUACCUUGAACUCGAACAUUGUUUUUCUUAUCUCAUACUGAUAUUUUGUUUUUUUUUUUCAGAACGAAAAUGCCUUCGUAUUAUACCAAAAAGUAUAUCGAUAGCUUGUUUAACAAUGUUUUUUAUAAUAAAUGUGAAGUUUUGUUGAUAAAAUUAACUUCAGAAGACAUUGCAAAUUAUAAAUUGAGCUUAAUUAAGAAUAUGGAUACACUCAAAGAAGAUGAUAAUGCAUCAAAACAAGAUAAGAAAUGUAAAACCAAUAUAACAUCUAAAGAUGAGAAAAAGUCAACAGUCGUUAAAACAUCUAAAAACAGUAAUACAUCUAUAGAUAGCGAGCCUCCUAAAAAAAAGCAGAAGUUAGAUACAAAUGGAGUAGAUGUUUUGAAAUUUAAAUUAUCUAGAGAGCGUAAAACUCAUAAAUUUAAUUCACAAUUCAAGUCUGCCUUAAAAUCCAAUAAAGAAAAUAUUGCUUCUACCAAUGCUAAGGAGAUACCUAUGUUAAUUGAUUGUGAUGAAUUUACUGAAUCUGCAAAUUCCUCAGAUAAAAAUCUAAAACCAAGGAUCUGGGUCAUCGAUCCCAAGAAAAUGAUGGAUAAAAAUAAUUACAUUAGGUGGAUGAAAAUGAUUUCUCCUGAUAAUAAAUCCAAACAUCCAACAAAUCGCCUGAAAAAGUUAGCAGUUGCUAAACCUCUAUAGCCUAAACCAUCUUCAGAGUUCAGAUACUACCAAAUGCUAUGCAAAAGAUUGUAACAACUCUACAAGAAAAAUACAAGACAACAACGGUGAAAUAUUGUUCCUGUAGCUGCCAAGAACUUGACAAGUAUCUACCUGUCAUAUAAAUGACUGUGAUUGACUGCUAAGCAUACUCUACCGUAAACAUUCCUUUACCUACAUACAUAUAUAAUAUUAUAAUUUCAAUGUUGUAUAUUUAUAUUAAAACGUUUUUCAUGAAUUUAUUUUUAUUUUAAAAAAAAUUGGA
rnacentral:misc_RNA from 1 species